AGAGUUUGAUCAUGGCUCAGAUUGAACGCUGGCGGCAUGCCUUACACAUGCAAGUCGUACGCGAAAGGGGGCAACCCCGAGUAGAGUGGCGAACGGGUGAGCAAUACAUCGGAACGUGUCCUGUAGCGGGGGACAACCUCGAGAAAUCGAGGCUAAUACCGCAUACGAUCUACGGAUGAAAGUGGGGGACCGCAAGGCCCCACACUAUAGGAGCGGCCGAUGCCGGAUUAGCUAGCUGGUGGGGUAACGGCCUACCAAGGCGACGAUCCGUAGCUGGUUUGAGAGAACGACCAGCCACACUGGGACUGAGACACGGCCCAGACUCCUACGGGAGGCAGCAGUGGGGAAUUUUGGACAAUGGGCGAAAGCCUGAUCCAGCCAUGCCGCGUGAGUGAAGAAGGCCUUCGGGUUGUAAAGCUCUUUCGGCGGGGACGAAAUAGCGCGGGGUAAUAUCCCGCGUCGAUGACGGUACCCGAAGAAGAAGGACCGGCUAACUACGUGCCAGCAGCCGCGGUAAUACGUAGGGUCCAAGCGUUAAUCGGAAUUACUGGGCGUAAAGCGUGCGUAGGUGGUCUCGCAAGUCCGAUGUGAAAUCCCCGAGCUUAACUUGGGAACUGCGUUGGAAACUAUGAGGCUAGAGUGCGGCAGAGGGGGGUGGAAUUCCAGGUGUAGCAGUGAAAUGCGUAGAGAUCUGGAGGAACACCGAUGGCGAAGGCAGCCCCCUGGGCCAGCACUGACGCUGAUACACGAAAGCGUGGGGAGCAAACAGGAUUAGAUACCCUAGUAGUCC
rnacentral:rRNA from 1 species